rnacentral:rRNA from 1 species
GCAGUCGAGCGACUUACUAAAUGAAUGCGGUGCUUGCACCAAGUGAUUUUAGAGCGGUGAGCGGCGGAUGGGUGAGUAACACGUGGGUAACCUGCCUCUAAGCAGGGGAUAACAUUUGGAAACAGAUGCUAAUACCGUAUAAAUCCUAAAACCACAUGGUUUUAGGCUGAAAGGCGGCUUCGGCUGUCACUUAGAGAUGGACCCGCGGCGUAUUAGCUAGUUGGUGAGGUAAUGGCUCACCAAGGCAAUGAUACGUAGCCGAACUGAGAGGUUGAUCGGCCACAUUGGGACUGAGACACGGCCCAAACUCCUACGGGAGGCAGCAGUAGGGAAUCUUCCACAAUGGACGCAAGUCUGAUGGAGCAACGCCGCGUGAGUGAAGAAGGCUUUCGGGUCGUAAAACUCUGUUGUUGAAGAAGAACACGUUUGAGAGUAACUGUUCAGACGUUGACGGUAUUCAACCAGAAAGCCACGGCUAACUACGUGCCAGCAGCCGCGGUAAUACGUAGGUGGCAAGCGUUAUCCGGAUUUAUUGGGCGUAAAGCGAGCGCAGGCGGUUUUUUAAGUCUGAUGUGAAAGCCCUCGGCUUAACCGAGGAAGUGCAUCGGAAACUGGGAAACUUGAAUGCUGAAGAGGACAGUGGAACUCCAUGUGUAGCGGUGAAAUGCGUAGAUAUAUGGAAGAACACCAGUGGCGAAGGCGGCUGUCUGGUCAGUUAUUGACGCUGAGGCUCGAAAGCAUGGGUAGCGAACAGGAUUAGAUACCCUGGUAGUCCAUGCCGUAAACGAUGAAUACUAGGUGUUGGAGGGUUUCCGCCCUUCAGUGCCGCAGCUAACGCAUUAAGUAUUCCGCCUGGGGAGUACGACCGCAAGGUUGAAACUCAAAGGAAUUGACGGGGGCCCGCACAAGCGGUGGAGCAUGUGGUUUAAUUCGAAGCAACGCGAAGAACCUUACCAGGUCUUGACAUCUUCUGCUAUUUCUAGAGAUAGAAAGUUCCCUUUCGGGGACGGAAUGACAGGUGGGUGCAUGGGUUGUCGUCAGCCUCGUGUCGUGAAGAUGUUGGGUUAAGUCCCGCAACGAGCGCAACCCUUAUGACUAGUUGCCAGCAUUAAGUUGGGCACUCUAGUAAGACUGCCGGUGACAAACCGGAGGAAGGUGGGGACGACGUCAAAUCAUCAUGCCCCUUAUGACCUGGGCUACACACGUGCUACAAUGGUUGGUACAACGAGUUGCGAACUCGCGAGGGUAAGCUAAUCUCUUAAAGCCAAUCUCAGUUCGGACUGUAGGCUGCAACUCGCCUACACGAAGUCGGAAUCGCUAGUAAUCGCGGAUCAGCAUGCCGCGGUGAAUACGUUCCCGGGCCUUGUACACACCGCCCGUCACACCAUGAGAGUUUGUAACACCCAAAGCCGGUGGGGCACCCUCGGGAGCAGCC